rnacentral:lncRNA from 1 species
UCCUGGGGGAGAAAGGUGGCCGUCCUGGGGAGAAGGUGUCAAUCCUGGGGAGAAGAUGAGGCCUCCUGGGGGAGAAGGUGUCAGUCUCCUGGGGGAGAAGGUGGCCGUCCCCUGUGGGAGAAGGUGUCAGUCUCCUGGGGGAGAAGAUGGCCGUCCCCUGGGGGAGAAGGUGGCCGUCCCCUGGGGGAGAAGGUGUCAGUCUCCUGGGGGAGAAGGUGUCAGUCCCCUGGGGGAGACGGUGGCCGUCCCGCCGAGAGUCCCACUCUCUCGUUUGUCCUGUCAGGGCUGUGAUGACUUCUGUCCACACGGCAGGAAAGGACAGUAGGGCUUCCACCGGCAGUUUGAGGGGCUGUGAGGGCAGGAGGCGUGAGUCCACACCCUGGUGCCUGGCUGGACCAGGGGCAGGCAGGGUCCCUGGAUCUUGGGGUGAGGGGAGGCCCUGAGUUCGCUGGCUCUGGCUGGACUUCAGGUGGUCUGGGCCACUGGUCUGCGGCCGUGUGAAUGGCCGGGCCCAUCUGGUGCUGCUCGGACAUGAUUGGUCAGUGAUCACCUAUGAGAGCGUGGGCAGAGCUGGGGAUCCCGCUGGGGAGGCGGCAGCUCCUCACAUGCAAAGCCGUGUCUCUGCCCCCGCAGCCGGCACCCACCCCAGCGACUCAGGUCCUUGGGUGUUGGAUGGGACUGCAAGGCGGUGGCCCCGGGCUCCAGACGGCACUUCCCAAAGCAGGUAACUGGAUCUAGAACGUCAGAGGCCAGAGUUGGGUGCAGUGUAGGGGUCCCAGCCCAUCUCUUCACUUGCAGAUGAAGAUGCUGAGUUCUGGAAGGUUCUGUGUUUUGCCCGAGACCCCCACCAGCUGCGGCAGAGCCCUUGCUUUCACCCGUUCUAGACUCUGGCUCCUCUGAAGGUCCUGGGAUCCCGUGCCCUUCAUGGGGGGUACAGCCUGCAUGUCGAUGUCAGGCGCCUGCCCAGUGACUUGGGGCAGAGGUUGGUGUUUCGGUGGCUCUGACACCCAGCCUGUGCCUGGCAUGGAGCUUUGGUUAGUGACGCAUGGACAGGUGCUGGCACCCCUUUGAAAAGCAGCUGAGCAGGGCACAGGCCCUCCCUUCAAAUGCAUCUGGAAGUAGCUGGGGGCGUGGACGGGCGGACAUGAAUUCAGACUGGAUGCCCUCUGGAACAGCCACGUGUCCAGCCACUGUGGGCACAAAGGGGCGGGUGCUCCCAACAUGCAGGUGUGUCCGAGGAUGACCUUGAACCCAGGUUGAAGUUCACACGCUGUUAGCUGCUUGGAGCAUGGGGUGCCCCGCUGACUGGCCCAGGUCUGGGGCAGCCCCGGCCAUUCUGAGGAUGAGGGACCCCGUUUCUGGCUUGUGUUACCUGCUACU